GGAUGAACGCUGGCGGCGUGCUUAACACAUGCAAGUCGAACGAGCCUUCGGGCGAGUGGCGGACGGGUGAGUAACGCGUGGGAAUCUGCCCUCAGGAGGGGGAUAACGGCCGGAAACGGCCGCUAAUACCCCAUAUGCCGAGAGGUGAAACGAAUUUCGCCUGAGGAUAAGCCCGCGUCUGAUUAGCUAGUUGGUGGGGUAAUGGCCCACCAAGGCGACGAUCAGUAGCUGGUCUGAGAGGAUGAUCAGCCACACUGGGACUGAGACACGGCCCAGACUCCUACGGGAGGCAGCAGUGGGGAAUUUUCCGCAAUGGGCGAAAGCCUGACGGAGCAACGCCGCGUGAGGGAUGAAGGCCUCUGGGCUGUAAACCUCUUUUCUCAAGGAAGAAGACAUGACGGUACUUGAGGAAUAAGCCACGGCUAAUUCCGUGCCAGCAGCCGCGGUAAUACGGGAGUGGCAAGCGUUAUCCGGAAUUAUUGGGCGUAAAGCGUCCGCAGGCGGCCUUGUAAGUCUGUCGUUAAAACGUGGAGCUCAACUCCAUUUCAGCGAUGGAAACUACAAGGCUUGAGUGUGGUAGGGGCAGAGGGAAUUCCCGGUGUAGCGGUGAAAUGCGUAGAUAUCGGGAAGAACACCAGUGGCGAAGGCGCUCUGCUGGGCCAUAACUGACGCUCAUGGACGAAAGCCAGGGGAGCGAAAGGGAUUAGAUACCCCUGUAGUCCUGGCCGUAAACGAUGAACACUAGGUGUCGGGGGAAUCGACCCCCUCGGUGUCGUAGCUAACGCGUUAAGUGUUCCGCCUGGGGAGUACGCACGCAAGUGUGAAACUCAAAGGAAUUGACGGGGGCCCGCACAAGCGGUGGAGUAUGUGGUUUAAUUCGAUGCAACGCGAAGAACCUUACCAGGGUUUGACAUCCUGCGAAUCCCUUGGAAACGAGGGAGUGCCUUCGGGAGCGCAGAGACAGGUGGUGCAUGGCUGUCGUCAGCUCGUGUCGUGAGAUGUUGGGUUAAGUCCCGCAACGAGCGCAACCCACGUCUUUAGUUGCCAGCAUUCAGUUGGGCACUCUAGAGAGACCGCCGGUGAUAAACCGGAGGAAGGUGUGGAUGACGUCAAGUCAUCAUGCCCCUUACAUCCUGGGCUACACACGUACUACAAUGCUACGGACAAAGGGUUGCAAGCUCGCGAGAGUUAGCUAAUCCCAUAAACCGUG
rnacentral:rRNA from 1 species